GAUGAAGAACGCAGUGAAAUGCGAUAAGUAGUGUGAAUUGCAGAAUUCAGUGAAUCAUCGAAUCUUUGAACGCACAUUGCGCCCCAUGGUAUUCCGUGGGGCAUGCCUGUUCGAGCGUCAUUUACCCCCUCAAGCUCCGCUUGGUGUUGGGCGUCUGUCCCGCUUCGCGCGCGGACUCGCCCCAAAGGUAUUGGCAGCGGUCGUGCCAGCUUCUCGCGCAGCACAUUGCGCUUCUCGAGGCACCGGUGGGCCCGCGUCCAUCAAGCUCACCCCCCCAGUUUGACCUCGGAUCAGGUAGGGAUACCCGCUGAACUUAAGCAUAUCAAUAGCGGAGGA
rnacentral:misc_RNA from 1 species